UACUCAAAGGGAUAGCUCAGUCAAUAGAACAUGAGACUCUUAAUCUCAGGGUUGUGGGUUCGAACCCCACAUUGGGGAA